rnacentral:rRNA from 1 species
AUUGAACGCUGGCGGCAGGCCUAACACAUGCAAGUCGAGCGGAUGAAGGGAGCUUGCUCCUGGAUUCAGCGGCGGACGGGUGAGUAAUGCCUAGGAAUCUGCCUGGUAGUGGGGGAUAACGUCCGGAAACGGGCGCUAAUACCGCAUACGUCCUGAGGGAGAAAGUGGGGGAUCUUCGGACUUCACGCUAUCAGAUGAGCCUAGGUCGGAUUAGCUAGUUGGUGGGGUAAAGGCCUACCAAGGCGACGAUCCCUAACUGGUCUGAGAGGAUGAUCAGUCACACUGGAACUGAGACACGGUCCAGACUCCUACGGGAGGCAGCAGUGGGGAAUAUUGGACAAUGGGCGAAAGCCUGAUCCAGCCAUGCCGCGUGUGUGAAGAAGGUCUUCGGAUUGUAAAGCACUUUAAGUUGGGAGGAAGGGCAGUAAGUUAAUACCUUGCUGUUUUGACGUUACCAACAGAAUAAGCACCGGCUAACUUCGUG